GCACUGGUCCCAAAUCGACCGCGAGAGGUGUAGGGGAAAAUGGAAAGAAAAAAAAAAGGGUAUCUGUGUGCGUUUUAUUAAUAUCAUAUAUUUUUGUGUUAGUGUAUACGGCACCCGAAACAUCCUAUCAGCUUCACAUUCAGAAAAACAGAAUCACUUAUAAAAAAAAAAAUCUAAUUAAAAACGCUUGGUCACCUUUAACCUACGGUGGCGCAUAACUGCAUCACAGGAAGUUGUUGGCGGGCAGCAGUCUGCAGUAGCAGCUAGCAAUUACAGCUGUUGAGAUAUAUCUAUUUUGUUGUGUUUAUUCUUAUUCAAAGUUUGUUUCAAUUGCAAUUCACUGACCGCACUGUCAAAGAAUGGGAAUCCGGACAGCCAGGAGGAU